CAUUACCAUAUUUUCUAACACUCAUUUACACCACUCCUCAAAAAAGUAAAAAAUAAUAAGGGUACGUUUGUACCCAAAAAAUUAUUCAUAAUCUUCCGGAUUGUAUUCGUAUCCAUAGGUUUCUUCAUCUCUUUUUCUAAUCGCUUCCUUUUCAGAUUCUGACGCUUUUGACCAUUCCGCCUGAUCAUUUACCCAAUCAUUAUGUGCUUGAACGUUAGCAUUAUGUUUUGCCACUUCUUCAUCAUAUUGACUCGCUAAAUCCGCCAUUUUUUGCGCUUCUUCUUCGCUUAAAUCAUCAUUUGUGUUUUGUUUAUAAAUCGAAUUUUCUUGACCACUUUCGACUCGUAACGAACUUUCAUACGCUGCUGCGGCAGGACCUUCCAUUACAUUCCCUUGUGGUAUAAUACCAUUCGCUACCGCACUGUUAUAUGCAUGUAUCUUAUCCAUUUCAGUAUAAUUGCCAUAAAUAACACUUUCUAAAGUUUUUCUGUCAGUAAUGUUAUUAACGUCAAUUUUGUUGUUAAAUUGUUCCUCUUUAGCUUUUGAAUUGUCCUCCUCUACAUUUAGAUUAGCUUUCAUUUCCUUUUUCUCUUUAUUUUCCUUAUCUUUAUCAACGCUCUUUUCUUUUGUCUUAUUUUCUUUCUUUUGCCCAACCUUUUUCUCAGGCUCUUUUUUCUCCUCUUCAUUUCCACACGCUGAUAAAACUAAAAUACUAGCAAGCAAUAAAAACAGUAACCUCUUCAUGUUUUACACUCCUUAAAAAUUGUUUUUAUAUAAAGCGCUACGAGAGCGCCUUGUUAAUAAAAUUUCAUGCUUGAAACAACUUUGCCAACAAUUUUAAUCUCAUUAUCGUUUGUAUAAACUUGUGGUAAAUGAUCGUUGUUGUUUGAUUCAGGUAAUAAUACAAUUUUGUCAUCGUUAUAUCUGACGCGCUUUACAGUUGCGUUGUAUCCAUUAACAUUAACCACGCCGAUUUGCCCAUUUUCCACAAUUGCAUCUUUUUCCACAAUUACAACAUCACCGUCACGAAAUUCUUUGUCCAUUGAGUCGCCAGAAACUUUUAAACCGAAUAGCUCUUUGCCACCUUUAGUCAUUUGAGAAGGUAUAUAUGUAUAUUCGAUUAUAUUUUCUUCUGUGUAGAUAGGUAAACCCGCACUUAUUUUAGCGACUACUGGAAUUGCUGUGACAGGUAGUGUGUCUAUUUGUGGUUUAGUUUUAUCCUCAACUAAAUCUGAUUUAUUCACAUUAAAGUAAUUUGCUAAUAGCUCGAUUUUAUCUAUUCUUGGGUAAGUUUUUGCAUUAAUCCAAUCAGAUAAAGUUGUAUAUUUCACUUUCAAAUCUAUUGAUAAUUGCUUUCUGUCAACGUUAUUUUCCUUCAUCAAACGUCGAAUAUUUUUAGACAUUACUUCUUUAUUACCUAACAUUUUUUACACUCCUUUCGUCUAAUGCCWYWSUUAAGAUUGAGCUGUGAUGGGGAGAGGAACUUGUUCCUCGAGUCGUUGAUUUCACACUGCCGAGAAAAGCCUCUAGCUAGAAUAACGGUGCCCGUACCGCAAACCGACACAGGUAGUCAAGAUGAGAAUUCUAAGGUGAGCGAGCGAACUCUCGUUAAGGAACUCGGCAAAAUGACCCCGUAACUUCGGGAGAAGGGGUGCUCUUUGAGGUUCACGCUUCGAAGAGCCGCAGUGAAUAGGCCCAAGCGACUGUUUAUCAAAAACACAGGUCUCUGCUAAACCGUAAGGUGACGUAUAGGGGCUGACGCCUGCCCGGUGCUGGAAGGUUAAGAGGAGUGGUUAGCGCAAGCGAAGCUACGAAUCGAAGCCCCAGUAAACGGCGGCCGUAACUAUAACGGUCCUAAGGUAGCGAAAUUCCUUGUCGGGUAAGUUCCGACCCGCACGAAAGGCGUAACGAUUUGGGCACUGUCUCAACGAGAGACUCGGUGAAAUCAUAGUACCGGUGAAGAUGCCGGUUACCCGCGACAGGACGGAAAGACCCCGUGGAGCUUUACUGUAGCCUGAUAUUGAAAUUCGGUACAGUUUGUACAGGAUAGGUAGGAGCCUUAGAAGCGUGAGCGCUAGCUUACGUGGAGGCAUUGGUGGGAUACUACCCUAAUUGUAUUGGAUUUCUAACCCGCAGCACUUAUCGUGCUGGGAGACAGUGUCAGGCGGGCAGUUUGACUGGGGCGGUCGCCUCCUAAAGAGUAACGGAGGCGCUCAAAGGUUCCCUCAGAAUGGUUGGAAAUCAUUCAUAGAGUGUAAAGGCAUAAGGGAGCUUGACUGCGAGACCUACAAGUCGAGCAGGGUCGAAAGACGGACUUAGUGAUCCGGUGGUUCCGCAUGGAAGGGCCAUCGCUCAACGGAUAAAAGCUACCCCGGGAUAACAGGCUUAUCUCCCCAAGAGUUCACAUCGACGGGGAGGUUUGGCACCUCGAUGUCGGCUCAUCGCAUCCUGGGGCUGUAGUCGGUCCCAAGGGUUGGGCUGUUCGCCCAUUAAAGCGGUACGCGAGCUGGGUUCAGAACGUCGUGAGACAGUUCGGUCCCUAUCCGUCGUGGGCGUAGGAAAUUUGAGAGGAGCUGUCCUUAGUACGAGAGGACCGGGAUGGACAUACCUCUGGUGUACCAGUUGUCGUGCCAACGGCAUAGCUGGGUAGCUAUGUAUGGACGGGAUAAGUGCUGAAAGCAUCUAAGCAUGAAGCCCCCCUCGAGAUGAGAUUUCCCAACUUCGGUUAUAAGAUCCCUCAAAGAUGAUGAGGUGAAUAGGUUCGAGGUGGAAGCGUAGCGAUACGUGGAGCUGACGAAUACUAAUCGAUCGAAGACUUAAUC
rnacentral:rRNA from 1 species